rnacentral:rRNA from 1 species
AUUGAACGCUGGCGGCAGGCCUAACACAUGCAAGUCGAACGAGUGGCGGACGGGUGAGUAAUGUCUGGGAAACUGCCCGAUGGCGGGGGAUAACUACUGGAAACGGUAGCUAAUACCGCAUACCAUCGGAUGUGCCCAGAUGGGAUUAGCUGUUGGGUGAGGUAACGGCUCACCUAGGCGACGAUCCCUAGCUGGUCUGAGAGGAUGACCAGCCACCAGGGAACUGAGACACGGUCCAGACUCCUCCGGGAGGCAGCAGUUGGGAAUAUUGCACAAUGGGCGCAAGCCUGAUCCAGCCAUACCGCGUGGGUGAAGAAGGCCUUCGGGUUGUAAAGUCCUUUUGUUGGGGAAGCGGUACCCGAAGAAGAAGCACCGGCUAACUUCUUGCCAGCAGCCGCGGUAAUUC